rnacentral:rRNA from 1 species
UACGUAGGGUGCAAGCGUUGUCCGGAAUUAUUGGGCGUAAAGAGCUCGUAGGCGGUUUGUUGCGUCGGCUGUGAAAUCCCGAGGCUCAACCUCGGGUCUGCAGUCGAUACGAGCAAACUAGAGUGUUGCAGGGGAGACUGGAAUUCCUGGUGUAGCGGUGAAAUGCGCAGAUAUCAGGAGGAACACCGAUGGCGAAGGCAGGUCUCUGGGCCACUACUGACGCUGAGAAGCGAAAGCUGGGGAGCGAACAGG